UCAAGCAAUCCCCCAAAAUGAAAUAGACAACAAAGACCUCCUCCUACACAAGCAACACAAGAAAAACCUGUAAACAUUGCACAUGAGCAACAAGAAAACCCUCAAAAUCCUCAAAAUGUUGCUCCUCAACAACCACCACCACCCCGAAACCAUCCAUGUCCUCCAUUAGACCAUGUAGAUGCCACACAAGACGAUCUCAUCAAUCGCCUUACACAAAAUAGUGGCCAAAAUUCUAUAUUGGUGAAAAGGUUGAGGUCAUCUAGGCUUGAGCACCACUCAAACCUCGCCAGAACACUAGAAACAAUGGCUAAUAGUGCAAAUAAGGUAUCUAGGGAGGUUAUGAAAUGGGGUUCAUGGAGGGAUAGAUGUCGAACAUUUUAUGCAAAUGGGUUAUCAUAUGAUCAAGUGAAAAAAAAUGCCAUAGGUAAAGCUGACAUAUGUGCUCUUUUCACCGAUCCUGUUACCAGUAACAACCUAUAACUAAAUACGACUCGGUUGCCUAUACAUUGGUGUGUUCAUGCUAGGCUAAAAGAAGCUUUUUGGGAUAGGUGGUAUAUGGUCUUUGACCAACCACCUUGUAAUAAUUGGGAGGUUCCUCUAUAUUUUUUGGGAAAGUUGUAUUGUGAGUUUAUCCUCGGCGAGAAGCCGAAUUACUUUGACAUUUGACAAUUUUUGGGUAGAGGGAGAGGCUCUGCGUAGGAUAGACCUAGAGCCCAUAGGGUGGUAGAGCCAUAGUAUAGGAGGCAUACAUCUCCUAAACCCAUGGUUCAUGUCACUGUCCCUAUAUCCUUGAAGGAGUCUAUGGAAUUGCAAACUCUUCAGGCAGCUACAUCAUUGACUGAUGUCAUUGUUCAACAUGGCACACAGUUGGUCAGAGUAGAGGAUGUAACAGCACCUGCUACACCUCCUUCAUCAGUGGCACCUCCUUCAUCAGCAGCACCUCCUUCAUCAGUGGCACAUCCUUCAUCAACGUCACCUAAUGCAUCAUUUGGCACAAGCCAACCCAUUCAACAUAUGUGCCCCACCUGCCAGGGUGUAUGUUAUGGUGUAGACACUGACGCGGACGAGGAUGGUUCAACAUCUCAUUUGUGUACAUGUUAUGGGAGUAGAUGCCAAGCUUACACUGUAGAGGAUGUGGCCCUAACCGAUGAACUGAUCAAUAUGUUGUACCCUCUCUAUCAGACACAAGUGCGUUUAAUUAUGUUUAUGACAUGUUAUCAAUUAAGUGACUAAAUCUUCUAGAAAGAAAUGAAUUUUUAUUUUUAGAACAAUUUAAAGUGACAUAUAAAUAAAAUGCAUUGCAGGGUGCAGCAGGUGGUGGGAGUACACCACAUACUUUUCAGUUGACUCCACGAUCAUGAGUAGUUUUGCCACCAGAGGUAAAGAUUUGUAAAUUUGUUAAAAAUGUAAUAAUACAUUGGUUUCAAAAUAUAUUUUGUUAAUUAUAUGUAUCAUUACUUGGUUUUUAUAGGGCUUAUCAGUGGCUGAGAUGUCCCAACUUGAUGAUAUCACACUUUUGGUCAUUGACUUUGGCCAAGAUAGCUAUGCGGUACUAUUUAGAUUUAUAUAUUUUCGACUUAAGUGAUAUAUUAAAUACAUGCUCUUUUCCCUUAUGUUUAUUUUUUUUUGUUAGUUUACCCCACCUGCCUCGAGGACAUCUCGUGUGAGAAAGCCAUCCUCUAGCACUCCGAGGCAGAAAAAGAUAUCCUCUCGGACACACAAAUGACAUAAGGUAAUUUAGUAGAAUUUAAAUUCAUUUGUUGAAAUGUAUUAUGAUUAAACAUGUAUAUGUAGAUAUUGAUAAAUGCACUUAAUUUAUUUGUUUUAUAUAUAGAAACAUAUGGUGUUUACGAAAUUAAUGAAUGCACCUGACGUCGAUGAGGUUCAGCAAAGGGAAGAGAUGAUAUCUUCAUAUUCACUUUGGAUUGCAUUCUUUCUUGUUCAAAAUAACUAAAUCCUUUUAUGUCUAUAUCAUAUGUUAUCAUUUUUCAUACAGGAAAUGGUAAUAGUUGUAUCAGAUUCAACUAGGCCUCCUAAGGUUAUAGGAGAACUAUGCGAGGCUUCGGCCCCUUCCAAACUUCCUACUAUUAUUCUACCAUUCCAUUUCAGUAGAAGUCCUACACGUAUAUUAUGGGAUCCAACACGACCAAGGGAAAGGAAAUGGUCAUAAUUGAUUCGUCUGUGACUUUGCCUCCUAUGACCACAUCACAUCCAUCUGAGGCUCUGUUACAGCCCCCUUCAGGACAUACCACAAAUUCUUAGCCUCACCCAAUUGCAGAAGACAGAGAUGAG